GCAGCGUUGCUGAUCUGCGAUUACUAGCGACUCCGACUUCAUGAGGUCGAGUUGCAGACCUCAAUCCGAACUGAGACCGGCUUUUUGGGAUUCGCUCCACCUUACGGUAUCGCAGCCCUUUGUACCGGCCAUUGUAGCAUGCGUGAAGCCCAAGACAUAAGGGGGCAUGAUGAUUUGACGUCAUCCCCACCUUCCUCCGAGUUGACCCCGGCAGUCUCCUAUGAGUCCCCGCCAUAACGCGCUGGCAACAUAGAACGAGGGUUGCGCUCGUUGCGGGACUUAACCCAACAUCUCACGACACGAGCUGACGACAACCAUGCACCACCUGUACACCGACCACAAGGGGGCAACCAUCUCUGGCCGUUUCCGGUGUAUGUCAAGCCUUGGUAAGGUUCUUCGCGUUGCAUCGAAUUAAUCCGCAUGCUCCGCCGCUUGUGCGGGCCCCCGUCAAUUCCUUUGAGUUUUAGCCUUGCGGCCGUACUCCCCAGGCGGGGCGCUUAAUGCGUUAGCUACGACACAGAAACCGUGGAAAGGUCCCUACAUCUAGCGCCCAACGUUUACGGCGUGGACUACCAGGGUAUCUAAUCCUGUUCGCUCCCCACGCUUUCGCUCCUCAGCGUCAGUUACGGCCCAGAGAUCUGCCUUCGCCAUCGGUGUUCCUCCUGAUAUCUGCGCAUUCCACCGCUACACCAGGAAUUCCAAUCUCCCCUACCGCACUCUAGUCUGCCCGUACCCACUGCAAGCCCGAGGUUGAGCCUCGGGAUUUCACAGCAGACGCGACAAACCGCCUACGAGCUCUUUACGCCCAAUAAUUCCGGACAAUCGCUUGCACCCUACGUAUUACCGCGGCUGCUGGCACGUAGUUAGCCGGUGCUUUUUCUGCAGGUACCGUCACUUACGCUUCUUCCCUACUAAAAGAGGUUUACAACCCGAAGGCCGUCAUCCCUCACGCGGCGUUGCUGCAUCAGGCUUUCGCCCAUUGUGCAAUAUUCCCCACUGCUGCCUCCCGUAGGAGUCUGGGCCGUGUCUCAGUCCCAGUGUGGCCGGUCACCCUCUCAGGCCGGCUACCCGUCGUCGCCUUGGUGAGCCAUUACCUCACCAACAAGCUGAUAGGCCGCGAGUCCAUCCCCAACCAAAAAAUCUUUCCACCACCAGACCAUGCGGCCGGCAGUCAUAUCCAGUAUUAGACGUCGUUUCCAACGCUUAUCCCAGAGUCAGGGGCAGGUUACUCACGUGUUACUCACCCGUUCGCCACUAAUCCACCCAGCAAGCUGGGCAUCAUCGUUCGACUUGCAUGUGUUAAGCACGCCGCCAGCGUUCGUCCU
rnacentral:rRNA from 1 species